rfam:Clostridiales bacterium CHKCI001 isolate CHKC1 genome assembly, contig: {contig32}
GGGGUUGUACUGGUUUCGACGGGGGUUUUGAAAUUAGAGUAGCCAUUCGUGGUCUGGAUCCACGUUAAAAGUCAGAACUUAAAUAUAAACGCUAACGAUAAUUUAGCAUACGCUGCCUAAUUGCGGCAGCUGUCGACCCUAAGUCACUCGCUGCUUAGGAGUUCGGCAUCGACUUUGCGAGGCACUUCGUUUCCAAAGCUUUGAGGGAAUGGAAGAAUUAUGAAGCUACUAAGCAAUAAAGCCUGUUGUUCGGCGGUAUUGUAAGGGAAUGUCAAACGAGCAACUGUAAUGGAAGAAGCUUUAAUGGACGGGCUUUCGGACAGGGGUUCGAUUCCCCUCAGCUCCAUUG